rnacentral:rRNA from 1 species
GACGAACGCUGGCGGCGGGCCUCAUACAUGCAAGUCGAGCGCGAAAGUCCGCAAGGAUGAGUAAAGCGGCGCACGGGUGAGUAACACGUGGGUAAUCUACCUCUUGGAUUGGAAUAACCUGUCGAAAGACGGGCUAAUGCCGAGUGCGUUCUCUUCUUCGUGAAGUUGGAGAGAAGAAAGAUGGCGCAAGCUAUCGCCGAGAGAUGAGCCUGCGUCCCAUUAGUUAGUUGGUGAGGUAAUGGCUUACCAAGACAAUGAUGGGUACCUGGUCUGAGAGGAUGAUCAGGCACACUGGAACUGAAACACGGUCCAGACUCCUACGGGAGGCAGCAGUAGGGAAUAUUGCGCAAUGGACGAAAGUCUGACGCAGCCACGCCGCGUGAGUGAGGAAGGCCUUCGGGUUGUAAAAGCUCUGUCGCCUGGGAAAAAUCGGCUAUCUGGGGAAAAGUUCAGGUAGCGUGAUGGUACCAGGAAAGGAAGCACCGGCAAACUCUGUGCCAGCAGCCNCGGUAAAUACAGAGGGUGCAAGCGUUGUUCGGAAUUACUGGGCGUAAAGCGUGCGUAGUCGGUAUUGAGAGUCGCGGGUGAAAUCCCAGGGGCUUAACCCUGGAACUGCCUGCGAGACCUCAGUACUAGAGUGUGAGAGGGGAUAGUGGAAUACCCAGUGUAGCGG